AUGAUGGAUGUGCACAAAUGGAACUCCUCUAGUUCCACCUGGGAAUUAGUUCUUAUCUAUAAUGGAAAGUCUCAUUCUGGGAAACGCACCUUCAGAGAUCAGCUCACUGUAUCCCAGGAGCAGUUCACAGUGAUGAACACGAGCAGAGAGUUACAAGGAGUUUAUAUGGUUACCUUAUUCCUGUCUGAGAAAUGUGUGGCUCUCAUCAACCUGACAGUGAGGGCUCCUAUGGCACCUCCAUCGGUUAUACCCGGGAACCAAGCUCCUGCAGCCCAUCCAGCUUUAUGGGCUCUAUUCCCCAUUCUGAUUAUUGCUGCAAUAGUCAUUUACUUGGCUGUAAAAAGAUUUUGUCCAAGAAGAGAUGGAUCAAGAGCCAUUCAAUGACAGACCUGUGGGUGGCUAUAUUACAACAGAAAAACUUCAAAAACAGACUCCAACCAGAGACUGCUGAGCUGGAAUUGAUAUGCAAACUAGACACAAUCAACUCAGGAUUGAAUAAGGACUGGGAAUGGCUGAGCCAUUACAAACAUUGAAUCUAUCUCCCCUUGUAAGUAUUCUCACAUGUCUUAUCAAACUGUCUGUACUGGGCUAGCUUGAUUAUCACUUCAAAAGUUUUUUUCCUCUUACUUAAUUGGCCUCUCAGAGUUGGUAAGACAACUCCCACCUGUUCAUGCUCUGUGUAUGUGUGUAUAUAUAUCUCCUCAAUAUAUGUUCCACUCUAUAUGCAUCUGAAGAAGUGGGCUGUAGCGCACGAAAGCUUAUGCUCUAAUAAAUGUGUUACCGGUAGUCUCUAAGGUGCCA
rnacentral:lncRNA from 1 species